GUAUUAGUAUUAUACUAUAUUCUUUUGUGUUUUGCCAGGUCCUGGUGCAAAUGGAGCAAAAACGAGUAAUAUGGAAAUCACCAGCCAGUUGGGCAGAGUAGGGUGCCAGAGACCGAAGUGAAAUGGGCGCUAUUUUCUGUGAUUGGUCCGGGCCCGCUAUCUCUUUAUUAUUAAAGUUGGUGGCCAUAAUUCUUUGAGAUGAUAUAUUAUUAGAGGGAAAAUUCAAUUAUAUAGAGAAGGUGGUUGCAUAUGAUAUCUAAACAUAUUAAUAAUAUCUACAAAUCUUGGACAAAAGUAUUAGAAGUGGAAUCUGUUGGAAAAAGUGGUGGCCGUCUUUAUUAAUUGGAGAAGAGGGGACGCAAGAUUUAAAAAAAGGAAAAACAGUUGGGCGCAAGUUUUGGUGGAGUGUGGGCCGCCAAAGGGCUGAAGCCCAGCGAUUUGUGUGAAGUGUUAAGAGUGUUGGCCAAUAAUAUAUUGGGGAGCCCUAUUACGUUAAAGAUAGAGAUGAUAUUUGAAGAGAGCCGCACAUCAGAAUUUGGGUUGGAAAGCAUAUCAGACGGCAACAGUGGGACGCACGAAGAAGAGAAAAUUCGAUUUGGAGAACAAAAAGGCGAUCAAGAGAGAAGAAGGUGAUUGGUUUGAGGGUUCAAGCCGCGAUCAAGAUUUAAGUCCGGGAAAAGCUUAUGGAGUCUACUCUCAUGAGUCCUGACCCAAUCCUCAACAAAAGCAAAGGAGCUUAUAGAACUGGAUGAUGUUAUGUAGCUAUUUUUUGAACAGCAAUACUCAGAUCAUUCGGUACUUUCCUUUAUACAGGAUGACGUGUCUCAUUGUUAUCUUCUUCUUUUGGCGUGGAAGUAUACCCAAAGGGAGGUGGAAUAUUUCAUCUUUGGCACUUUGCAAAUCAAAAUAAGGUAGAAAGUUUUGGUAUUAUGUUUUCUAUUGUUGAUGCAGUUUAGUGAUCAUGUGCAGCUACCUAUUGUUGCAUUCGUAGGAUGAUAUUUUUCAGGUAUAUAAUACGAAUGUGUGAAUUUUGGAAGUGAUGUGAGGUUUGGUGAUCUGAGAUAAUCAAAUUGUUGUUGU